GCCUGCAGCCAGACCUCCCUAAACAUUCCCAACCUCUGCUGAUCUUGGAAGCUAAGCGGGGUGGGGCCUGGUGAGUGCUUGGACGGCAGAGA
rnacentral:rRNA from 1 species